ACUCAAUUAAAAUACAACAAAACAAACAACAACUCACAUUCUCUCUCUCUCUCUCUCUCUCAUCAUAGAAAAACAAAACAAAAGUCUAUCAGAAUUUAGUAUUCACACUCAUUUCCUCUCCACUGUUUCUCUCUCUGUGUGCAAUGUAGUUCGGCUCACACGUCAUCGGACUGAAUGGCGAAGUGUCACAGAAACAACGUCGGAUCUCUAGUCCUCGACGGCCCCACCACCGCCGCCGGCCACUCUCGCAUAUGGACCUCGUUCUCAGGCUCCGCAUUCCGCCGCAAACUCUUCAACGCCAUGAGCUGCGGCGGCGGCGGUUCCCGCCACCGGCCCAAAAGCGAUUUCGUCGCAGACACCAGAUCGGUCUCGAAACCCUCGAAGCCGCCGGAGAAGCCGAAGAAGGCCAAGUCGGAGAAGCUCUCCGAUCUUCUCAACAUGCCGGAGUGCUCCUCGUCGGAGACAGACACCGAGGCGGAGACGAAGAAGAAAGUGGAGGCCCUGGAGGAGCUGAAGCUCGUAGCUAAGGAACUGCAAGGCGAGGAUUCAGCGAAACGAAAAGCCGCCGCCAGCAAUGUGAGGCUUCGCGCCAAGGAAGACUCGGAAGCCAGAGCCACUCUCGCCAUGCUCGGAGCGAUCCCUCCGCUCGUCGGAAUGCUCGAUCAUCACGAAAACGACGCCGAAUCUCAGAUCGCUUCGCUCUACGCGCUUCUCAAUCUCGGAAUCGGCAACGACGCGAACAAAGCGGCCAUUGUGAAAGCUGGUGCUGUUCACAACAUGCUAAAGCUUAUAGAAUCUCCAAAUGCUCCGAACCCAUUAGUGUCCGAAGCUAUAGUGGCGAAUUUCCUUGGCUUGAGUGCAUUGGAUUUGAACAAAUCAGUGAUUGGAUCAUCGGGUGCAAUCCCAUUUUUGGUAAAAACACUUAAAAAUUUAGGCCAUCAAAGUAGCCCCCAAUCCAAGCAAGAUGCCCUUCGAGCGCUCUACAAUCUCUCAAUCUUCUCGUGCAAUGUUCCGUUCAUUUUGGAAACUGAUUUGAUCCCAUUUCUAUUGAAAACACUUGGGGAUAUGGAAUUAAGUGAGAGAGGUCUUGCGAUUCUUAGCAAUUUGGUUUCAACCCCGGAAGGUCGAAAGGCAAUUAGUGUUGCCCCGGAUGCAUUUCCAGUAUUGAUUGAUGCUUUGAAUUGGAACGAUUCACCGGGUUGCCAAGAAAAAGCAUCAUAUAUUUUGAUGGUGAUGGCACACAAAGCCUAUGGUGAUAGGCAGGCGAUGAUCGAGGCUGGAGUUGUAUCGUCCUUGCUAGAAUUAACGCUUUUGGGUAGCACAUUGGCCCAAAAGAGGGCUUCAAGGAUCUUAGAUUGUUUGAGAGUGGAUAAAGGAAAGCAAGUUUCAGAGAAUUAUGGUGGGAAUUUGGGUGCAGCGAUAUCUGCUCCUAUUUAUGGGUCUUCAUCGUCUUCUACAAACCCGAAUGGGGGUCCAAUUGAGUGUUUGGAGGAGGCAGAAGAUAUGAUGAGUGAUGAGAAGAAAGCAGUUAAGCAAUUAGUCCAACAGAGUCUGCAAAAUAACAUGAGGAGAAUUGUAAAGAGGGCAAAUUUGCCUCAAGAUUUCGUUCCAUCAGAUCAUUUCAAGUCCCUCACGGCUAGUUCGACUUCAAAGAGCUUGCCAUUUUGAUGCAUUGAAGCAGCCAAGGAAGAGAUUUAGAGAUUGAAGAGAAGAAAUCCUAAAUCUUAAUGGAGUAAAGCUGUUUUGAUUUAGAGUGGUGAGCUGUUCGAUGCAAAUAAAAGUCAGGUCACAUUUUGUCCCCACAAGGUAUAUGUACAUCUUGGUGUUUUGUGGGGUAUAGUCAUUUUGUAAUCUUAUCUUUGCCAUGUACUCGAGAUUUGUUGUCGAUUUUGUUGUAAAUAUUCUGUGGGAAUGAAGUUUUUUACCUUAGAAAAUUUGUUAAGGUCCAUCUGCUCCAUAUGUAAACAUGAAUAAGAAGGGAAUUUGAUUGGA